rnacentral:rRNA from 1 species
GUCUACAGCCAUACCACCUUGAACAAGCCCGAUCUCGCCUGAUCUUGGAGCUAAGCCGGGUCGGGCCUGGUUAGUGCUUGGAUGGGAAACAGGGUCUCGCUAUGCAGUUCAGGCUGGUCUUGAGC